rnacentral:lncRNA from 1 species
GUAAGCAUUACACAAUCUCCAAAUCAGGUUUUUGGGGAAAAGGAAAAAGAGAAUAGAUUCUCUAUUUUUAUACUACAUAUCCAAUUUUGACAUCAAGAAAUGAAGUUCUUUUUAGAAUUUGAUUCUCUAAAUAGAAAAUCGUUUUCAUAAAUUAAAUUCACACAAUUAGAAUUCUACAUUUUGGUUGGCUCUAAUAUAAGAUGGUUUCAGUGAAAAAGGGUCAAAAUUGCAAAUAGCAAAUGGGGGAUCAAAAUGGAUCGCGGUUCCCCAAGAAUUUCAUUGUUUGAAUGUUUGAAUUGAGGCGGGGGUUCGUUCAUAUUGUAAGACUCAUCUGCUCUUAUUUAUUAAUUGUUAGAAUUUUUUUUUUUUUCGAACUAGAAUAAAUCAUGAAUUUUUCUAGCACAAUAUUAAAGAUCUUAUCGAAAACUUACAGCAGCUUGCCAAACAAAGGCUAAGAGAAAAAAAUAGAACAGGUAUUACUGGCAUAAUAUCUACAAUUGGAUUCAAAAAAGCGUAGGCCUCGGGUAAUUUAGCGAAUAAAAAACUACUCGAAUAAAGGGCAGAAUUAAGACAGAUAUACAUUAAACUAAAGAUAUUAAGGCAUAACAAACAUUUUGUUCUUGGAGAUAAUUUUGAUUUUGAUUGGGUCGGUUUCCAAGAAGUUUUUUUUGUCUACCUUACUUUCUUUUCUUCAUUUUUAUCUUAUAUCAAUAAGAUAUUAAUAACUCAAUCAAAAUAAAAUUAUCUCCAAGAACAAAAUGUUUGUUAUGCUUAAUAUCUUUAGUUUAAUGUAUAUCUGUCUUAAUUCUGCCCUUUAUUCGAGUAGUUUUUUAUUCGCUAAAUUACCCGAGGCCUACGCUUUUUUGAAUCCAAUUGUAGAUAUUAUGCCAGUAAUACCUGUUCUAUUUUUUCUCUUAGCCUUUGUUUGGCAAGCUGCUGUAAGUUUUCGAUAAGAUCUUUAAUAUUGUGCUAGAAAAAUUCAUGAUUUAUUCUAGUUCGAAAAAAAAAAAAUUCUAACAAUUAAUAAAUAAGAGCAGAUGAGUCUUACAAUAUGAACGAACCCCCGCCUCAAUUCAAACAUUCAAACAAUGAAAUUCUUGGGGAACCGCGAUCCAUUUUGAUCCCCCAUUUGCUAUUUGCAAUUUUGACCCUUUUUCACUGAAACCAUCUUAUAUUAGAGCCAACCAAAAUGUAGAAUUCUAAUUGUGUGAAUUUAAUUUAUGAAAACGAUUUUCUAUUUAGAGAAUCAAAUUCUAAAAAGAACUUCAUUUCUUGAUGUCAAAAUUGGAUAUGUAGUAUAAAAAUAGAGAAUCUAUUCUCUUUUUCCUUUUCCCCAAAAACCUGAUUUGGAGAUUGUGUAAUGCUUACUCUCAAACUCUUUGUUUACACCGUAGUGAUAUUCUUUGUUUCGCUCUUCAUCUUCGGAUUCCUGUCUAAUGAUCCAGGGCGUAAUCCCGGACGCGAAGAAUAAAAAAGGAAGGAGUUGCUUACUUUAUUCGUAUAAACGUUCUUAGGAUUUUUUGAUUCCCAGUUACUAUUAAAAAUAAAGUAAAAGUGUUCGCUAAAGUUAAAUUUGAAAAAUACCAAGCCAUCGCCCGAAACGGAAAGAGAGGGAUUCGAACCCUCGGUACGAAGAACUCGUACACCGGAUUAGCAAUCCGACGCUUUAAUCCACUCAGCCAUCUCUCCUAAUUGAAAAUAAAAAAAUAAAAAAAAAAAUGACUAUGUUACAUUACACAAAAAAUAAUGCUUGAAAAAGCCCGUCUUUACUUGAUUUUCUAUCUUUACUUUCUAUAUUCUCUUCUAUAUUCUCUAGAAGAGAAUAUAGAAAGUAAAUUGAUUAUAUAGCUCAUAGAAAAUAUAGCUUAUAGAAUUUCUUUUUUUUUAUUGUCUUUUGUAUUCUAUUAUAUAAAUAGAUAUAACUUUUAUCAGCAAUUCCAUUUCUAUCAUUUUUCGAAAAUUAAAAUAAAGAAAGUAUUCGAAAGAGAUAAAAUAGAAAAAAAUAAAGAAAAGAAUAUCUCUUUAAUUUCGUUCAACGGGGCCUUUUUUAUUUCCACUUCCACGGCCUGGCCUGGUCAGUACCCAGCCGGGCCUUUUUUUGUUCUAAUGACCCAUACCGCUGAACCGUAGAAAGGGUGCGAACCAUACCAUAAAAAAACGAUUUAUUUGAAUUUGAUUUGAAAACCACAAAAUGAAAUCCUUGUUAUUGUAUUCAAAGGAACAAUAAAAAGAAGGACUAUUUCCAUUCUUUUGAUUGAAUCAAGAAUCCAAAUUUGUAUUUGGUGUGUGGAUAAAAGUUAUUUUGUCGAGCCAUAUCUGUCAAAAUUCGUCCAACAAAAGAAAUUGUUUUGAAUUAUUAAAUUUAGUUAUUUAAACGAAAUAACUCCUCCUUUACGAGGACUCCUGACAAAGACGUCAACGUUCUAAUUUCCAAUUUUCAUUUCAUGAUUAUUUUAAAUUUAUGUCCUAUCUUGAUUACAUCUGAUUCUCUUGUUCGACA